rnacentral:lncRNA from 1 species
AGUACAUGGCCUAGAAAAUCGACAUGAAGUCAACCAAGAUGGUAAACUAUAAGGAAUGGAGAAAGCCCUUGCAAUGAUGGGCUGAAUGGCCACAAUUGAAAAGUCUGAACACCUUGGAGAAUACCACUUGUGGAGGAGAGAAGCUGGCCCUUUACCUUGGCUAUUAGCACUUAUUCCUAUACCAUCAUCGAGAGAAAGAUAAGUCAAUUACUAAUUCUGUCUACUCCCUUCACCCCCAAUAAUUGACAAGAGAUCUCUUUGGAAACUCAACAUGAUACAGCUAGAUUCAGGUGAAAGACAGAGGUAGGUGUCAACCUUUUUCCUACAAAUCUAUGCAAAUACUCUAUUGCCCCAUCCCUUCUUUAAAAUGUAACUGGAAGACACAACCAACCAACCAACCAAAA